rnacentral:lncRNA from 1 species
CACCACAACAAAGUAGUUGUUUACACAAAUUUCACAAGAAGGAUGGAAAAAAAAAAGGUAGUUCCAUAAAUUAUAAACCAAUCGGAUCAAAUUGGUACUAGAGCUUGGCCUGCCACAUUUAUAGGGAUCUUAAUUUAUAGUCAAGACACAUAGAAGAAGGACUAGUAGUGCUCAAAAUAUAUUAAAGAACAAAGUGGAUAUGGCUGCCAGUUUUAGCUCAAUAGAUGAUGAGAUGAAGG